AGGAGGCAGCAGUGGGGAAUCUUGCACAAUGGGGGAAACCCUGAUGCAGCGACGCCGCGUGAGCGAUGAAGCCCUUCGGGGUGUAAAGCUCUUUCGGCAGGGACGAUGAUGACGGUACCUGCAGAAGCAGCUGCGGCUAACUACGUGCCAGCAGCCGCGGUAAUACGUAGGCAGCGAGCGUUGUUCGGAGUUACUGGGCGUAAAGGGUGCGUAGGCGGCCUUUUAAGUUUGGUGUGAAAUCUCCCGGCUCAACUGGGAGGGUGCGCCGGAAACUGAGAGGCUAGAGUGCGGGAGAGGAAAGUGGAAUUCCUGGUGUAGCGGUGAUAUGCGUAGAUAUCAGGAGGAACACCGGUGGUGUAAACGGCUUUCUGGACCGUAACUGACGCUGAGGCACGAAAGCGUGGGGAGCAAACAGGAUUAGAAACCCUGGUAGUCCA
rnacentral:rRNA from 1 species